AUUGAACGCUGGCGGCAUGCCUUACACAUGCAAGUCGAACGGUAACAGGUCUUCGGAUGCUGACGAGUGGCGAACGGGUGAGUAAUACAUCGGAACGUGCCCGAGAGUGGGGGAUAACGAAGCGAAAGCUUUGCUAAUACCGCAUACGAUCUCAGGAUGAAAGCAGGGGACCGCAAGGCCUUGCGCUCACGGAGCGACCGAUGGCAGAUUAGGUAGUUGGUGGGAUAAAAGCUUACCAAGCCGACGAUCUGUAGCUGGUCUGAGAGGACGACCGGCCACACUGGGACGGAGACACGGCCCAGACUCCUACGGGAGGCAGCAGUGUGGAAUUUUGGACAAUGGGCGCAAGCCUGAUCCAGCCAUGCCGCGUGCAGGAUGAAGGCCUUCGGGUUGUAAACUGCUUUUGUACGGAACGAAAAGACUCCUUCUAAUAAAGGGGGUCCAUGACGGUACCGUAAGAAUAAGCACCGGCUAACUACGUGCCAGCAGCCGCAGUAAAAC
rnacentral:rRNA from 1 species